rnacentral:misc_RNA from 1 species
UCCGAGUUGACCCCGGCAGUCUCCCAUGAGUCCCCGGCAUCAUCCGCUGGCAACAUGGAACGAGGGUUGCGCUCGUUGCGGGACUUAACCCAACAUCUCACGACACGAGCUGACGACAGCCAUGCAGCACCUGUGCUAGAGCUCCGAAGAGGGGCUCCGCUUUCACGGAGCUUUCUCUAGCAUGUCAAGCCCAGGUAAGGUUCUUCGCGUUGCUUCGAAUUAAACCACAUGCCCCACCGCUUGUGCGGGCCCCCGUCAAUUCCUUUGGGUUUUAGCCUUGCGGCCGUACUCCCCAGGCGGGGCGCUUAAUGCGUUAGCUGCGGCACAGAGAACCGGAGAGGUCCCCCACACCUAGCGCCCAACGUUUACAGCGUGGACUAC